rnacentral:rRNA from 1 species
ACGGAGGGUGCAAGCGUUAAUCGGAAUUACUGGGCGUAAAGCGCACGCAGGCGGUUUGUUAAGUCAGAUGUGAAAUCCCCGGGCUCAACCUGGGAACUGCAUCUGAUACUGGCAAGCUUGAGUCUCGUAGAGGGGGGUAGAAUUCCAGGUGUAGCGCCCAAAUGCGGAGAGAUGAGGAGGAAUACCGGUGGCGAAGGCAGCCAACAGGACGAAGUCUCACGCUCAGGUGCGCAAGCGUGUACAACAAACAG